CCUACGGGUGGCAGCAGUAGGGAAUAUUGCUCAAUGGGGGAAACCCUGAAGCAGCAACGCAGCGUGGAGGAUGAAGGUUUUCGGAUCGUAAACUCCUUUUGCUAGAGAAGAUAAUGACGGUAUCUAACGAACAAGCACCGGCUAACUCCGUGCCAGCAGCCGCGGUAAUACGGAGGGUGCAAGCGUUAGUCGGAAGCAGUGGGCGUAAAGAGCGCGUAGGCGGGAUAGCAAGUCAGAUGUGAAAUCCUAUGGCUUAACCAUAGAACUGCAGUUGAAACUGGUAGUGUAGAGUAUGGGAGAGGUAGGUGGAAUUCUUGGUGUAGGGGUAAAAUCCGUAGAGAUCAAGAAGAAUACUCAUUGCGAAGGCGACCUGCUAGAACAUAACUGACGCUGAUGCGCGAAAGCGUGGGGAGCAAACAGGAUUAGAUACCCUUGUAGUC
rnacentral:rRNA from 1 species